CACAAGUACUGGGAAAUUCUUAUUAAAUUCAGAUACAUUUUACCAUACUCAUUUUUUGCUUUCCUGACAAAGAACAACUGUAACUCCAAAGGUAUUUUCAUCAAAAAUACUUUUUAGAAAUCAAAGAUUACGUUCCUGUCUGUGACAAUGCUUUGACAGCAAAGGACUUCUAUCAGCUUUCCUCAGUUGGAGAAACUGGCUGAGAGCUCCUUGUUUAAUGAUUUCUUUAACAUUACUGAUGACAGGUUGUCCUUGUGAACCAUGCCAGGAACUUCUUAUCCUGUCUCUCUCCUCCCCUGCAGCAAUACUUAUGGUAAAUACCCUGGGAGAUGGAAGAUCUGAUGACGAGGAUGACAGCACUGAAGAUUUUUUCCAGAAAGCCUCAGUUUCUUAGCUGUAAGUUCACAAGACUGUGUCAUAACUGGGAGAGAAAAGAGGAUAGCCUCAAUGUAAUAAAUUAAUACACCGACACUUGCUUUUGUCUUAUUAUUAUACCUUCACUUCUGAAAUUAGAUAGGGUGCUUUCAUUUUAGCAUCUUACCUAUUUUCUCCUACAAGAAAUG